rnacentral:rRNA from 1 species
ACUCCUACGGGAGGCAGCAGCAGGGAAUAUUGCACAAUGGGCGAAAGCCUGAUGCAGCGACGCCGCGUGGGGGAUGAAUGCCUUCGGGUUGUAAACCCCUUUCAGGAGGGACGAAGCGAAAGUGACGGUACCUCCAGAAGAAGCCCCGGCCAACUACGUGCCAGCAGCCCGCGGUAAU